rnacentral:lncRNA from 1 species
AUGGUGGAUAUAACACAGGGUUGUUAUGGUGGAUACAACACAGGGUUGUUAUGGUGGAUACAACACAGGGUUGUUAUGGUGAAUACAACACAGGGUUGUUAUGGACAGAUACAACACAGGGUUGUUAUGGUGGAUAAAACACAGGGUUGUUAUGGUGGAUACAACACAGAGUUGUUAUGGUGGAUACAACACAGGGUUGUUAUGGUGGAUACAACACAGGGUUGUUAUGGUGGAUACAACACAGGGUUGUUAUGGUGGAUACAACACAGGGUUAUUAUGGUGGUUAUGGUGGAUACAACACAGGGUUAUUAUGGUGGUUAUGGUGGAUACAACACAGGGUUGUUAUGGUGGAUACAACACAGGGUUAUUAUGGUGGUUAUGGUGGAUACAACACAGGGUUGUUAUGGACAGAUACAACACAGGGUUAUUAUGGUGGUUAUGGUGGAUACAACACAGGGUUGUUAUGGACAGAUACAACACAGGGUUGUUAUGGUGGAUACAACACAGGGUUGUUAUGGUGGAUACAACACAGGGUUGUUAUGGUGGAUACAACACAGGGUUGUUAUGGUGGAUACAACACAGGGUUGUUAUCGUGGAUACAACACAGGGUUGUUAUGGUGGAUACAACACAGGGUUGUUAUGGUGGAUACAACACAGGGUUGUUAUGGUUGUUAUGGUGGAUACAACACAGAGUUGUUAUGGUGGAUACAACACAGGGUUGUUAUGGUGGAUACAACACAGGGUUGUUAUGGUGGAUACAACACAGGGUUGUUAUGGUGGAUACAACACAGGGUUGUUAUGGACAGAUACAACACAGAGUUGUUAUGGUGGAUACAACACAGGGUUGUUAUGGUGGAUACAACACAGAGUUGUUAUGGUGGAUACAACACAGGGUUGUUAUGGACAGAUACAACACAGGGUUGUUAUGGUGGAUACAACACAGGGUUGUUAUGGACAGAUACAACACAGGGUUGUUAUGGUGGAUAUAACACAGGGUGGUUAUGGUGGAUACAACACAGAGUUGUUAUGGUGGAUACAACACAGGGUUGUUAUGGACAGAUACAACACAGGGUUGUUAUGGACAGAUACAACACAGGGUUGUUAUGGUGGAUACAACACAGGGUUGUUAUGGUGGAUACAACACAGGGUUGUUAUGGUGGAUACAACACAGAGUUGUUAUGGUGGAUACAACACAGAGUUGUUAUGGUGGAUACAACACAGAGUUGUUAUGGUGGAUACAACACAGGGUUGUUAUGGUGGAUACAACACAGAGUUGUUAUGGUGGAUACAACACAGGGUUGUUAUGGUGGAUACAACACAGGGUUGUUAUGGUGGAUACAACACAGGGUUGUUAUGGUGAAUACAACACAGGGUUGUUAUGGACAGAUACAACACAGGGUUGUUAUGGUGAAUACAACACAGGGUUGUUAUGGUGGAUACAACACAGGGUUGUUAUGGUGGAUACAACACAGGGUUGUUAUGAUGGAUAUGGUGGAUACAACACAGGGUUGUUAUGGUGGAUACAACACAGGGUUGUUAUGGUGGAUACAACACAGGGUUGUUAUGGUGGAUACAACACAGGGUUGUUAUGGUGGAUACAACACAGGGUUGUUAUGGUGGAUACAAUACAGGGUUAUUAUGGUGGAUACAACACAGGGUUGUUAUGGUGGAUACAACACAGGGUUGUUAUGGUGGAUACAACACAGGGUUAUUAUGGUGGAUACAACACAGAGUUGUUAUGGUGGAUACAACACAGGGUUGUUAUGGUGGAUACAACACAGGGUUGUUAUGGUGGAUACAACACAGGGUUGUUAUGGUGGAUACAACACAGGGUUAUUAUGGUGGAUACAACACAGGGUUAUUAUGGUGGUUAUGGUGGAUACAACACAGGGUUGUUAUGGGGGAUACAACACAGGGUUGUUAUGGACAGAUACAACACAGGGUUGUUAUGGUGGAUACAACACAGGGUUGUUAUGGUGGAUACAACACAGGGUUGUUAUGGUGGAUACAACACAGGGUUGUUAUCGUGGAUACAACACAGGGUUGUUAUGGUGGAUACAACACAGAGUUGUUAUGGUGGAUACAACACAGGGUUGUUAUGGACAGAUACAACACAGGGUUGUUAUGGUUGUUAUGGACAGAUACAACACAGGGUUGUUAUGGUUGUUAUGGUGGAUACAACACAGGGUUGUUAUGGUGGAUACAACACAGGGUUGUUAUGGUGGAUACAACACAGGGUUGUUAUGGUGGAUACAACACAGGGUUGUUAUCGUGGAUACAACACAGGGUUGUUAUGGUGGAUACAACACAGAGUUGUUAUGGUGGAUACAACACAGAGUUGUUAUGGUGGAUACAACACAGAGUUGUUAUGGUGGAUACAACACAGGGUUGUUAUGGUGGAUACAACACAGGGUUGUUAUGGUGGAUACAACACAGGGUUGUUAUGGUUGUUAUGGUGGAUACAACACAGGGUUGUUAUGGUGGUUAUGGUGGAUACAACACAGAGUUGUUAUGGUGGAUACAACACAGGGUUGUUAUGGUGGAUACAACACAGGGUUGUUAUGGUGGAUACAACACAGGGUGGUUAUGGGGUUAAUUCCAUUUCAAAUCCAGUUAAUUCAGAAAGUAUUCAGAAAUUUCAAUACCAACUCUCUUCAAUGA